UCCUACGGGAGGCAGCAGUGGGGAAUAUUGGACAAUGGGGGCAACCCUGAUCCAGCCAUGCCGCGUGUGUGAAGAAGGCCCUCGGGUUGUAAAGCACUUUCAGCGAGGAAGAACGCCUAGCGGUUAAUACCCGCUAGGAAAGACAUCACUCGCAGAAGAAGCACCGGCUAACUCCGUGCCAGCAGCCGCGGUAAUACGGAGGGUGCAAGCGUUAAUCGGAAUUACUGGGCGUAAAGCGCGCGCAGGUGGCUUGAUAAGCCGGUUGUGAAAGCCCCGGGCUCAACCUGGGAACGGCAUCCGGAACUGUCAAGCUAGAGUGCAGGAGAGGAAGGUAGAAUUCCCGGUGUAGCGGUGAAAUGCGUAGAGAUCGGGAGGAAUACCAGUGGCGAAGGCGGCCUUCUGGACUGACACUGACACUGAGGUGCGAAAGCGUGGGUAGCAAACAGGAUUAGAUACCCUGGUAGUCCACGCCGUAAACGAUGUCGACCAGCCGUUGGGUGCCUAGCGCACUUUGUGGCGAAGUUAACGCGAUAAGUCGACCGCCUGGGGAGUACGGCCGCAAGGUUAAAACUCAAAUGAAUUGACG
rnacentral:rRNA from 1 species